rnacentral:rRNA from 1 species
CAGCCGCCGCGGUAAUACGAAGGGUGCAAGCGUUACUCGGAAUUACUGGGCGUAAAGCGUGCGUAGGUGGUGGUUUAAGUCCGUUGUGAAAGCCCUGGGCUCAACCUGGGAAUUGCAGUGGAUACUGGGUCACUAGAGUGUGGUAGAGGAUAGUGGAAUUUCCGGUGUAGCAGUGAAAUGCGUAGAGAUCGGAAGGAUCAUCUGUGGCGAAGGCGACUAUCUGGGCCAACACUGACACUGAGGCACGAAAGCGUGGGGAGCAAACAGGAUUAGAUAACCGUGUAGUCCCUGUCUCUUAUAA